CAAGCUGCACUCCUGGUUUCGACCUGCCACGCAGACUUGGGACCACAUUGAACUGCAUCCCAACAAACCCUGGAAGAUGCACAAGUAGCAAAUCAAAGACUCCCCUUUGUGGGACUGUGUUAUGGCCUGGAACGUGAUACGGGAAGAAUGGCUUAUCAGUGCUCCAUAGCUAUUCACUGGAAUUGUCCAUACCAAGACCUGAGAAUGCUCCCACUGAAGCCUACAAGAGUUUUACCAUCAACUUCAAAGGGAAUAGCAAGCAAUUCAUCUGCUGCCACCGGCACACAAGGCAGUUACUCAAGGCUCGAGAGCAGUGCGAGAAGCUUCAGAGGGAGCUAACCGAGAGGAGAAGAUGAGUCCGUCUCACCUCUGGCCAUGAUCUGCAGCAAAGCUGCCACUCUGAUGUCCCAGGACAGACUGAUGGAGCAGAAAUGGGACUGUGUUUCAGUUGUAGUGUUAGAGAAAGACGGCAUUAUUGCUGCCCUGCAGAUCGAUGUCCUCUAUAUAGCCACCAGUGAG